rnacentral:tRNA from 1 species
CGCGGGGUGGAGCAGAAAGGUAGCUCGCCGGGCUCAUAACCCGGAGGUCGAAGGUUCGAAUCCUUCCCCCGCCACAA